UAGGCCAUUCGAUGUUUGUUUGUAAUCAAGACUCAAAAGUGGUUGUGCCGGUUGUAUAUGUUAAUGAUAUUCUCUUUUAUCGUAAUGGCUUAUUUGGGAUUGAACAAUUAAAUCUUAUUACAGCAAAACUUGUAGAUGAAAUAUUUGUGUUUUCUUAGAUAUGUUCUUGUAUUAAGGUGAUUCCCAGUAGGGAAGGUCUUAGUUUGUCUUAGUGAGACUGUGAUGUUAGGUUGCAAGCCUGUAGAUACUCCUAUGGAUCCUUAUUUAUAGUUGGAGCUUCUAUGACAAGGAGUUUAUAGGCAAACAUCAGAAUAGGAGGAUAGUUUGCAAACUCAUUUAUCUUACUAUUAGCAGAAUUGACAUCUUUUUUUUUUUGGCGUGACUAGUCAGUUUAUGGAGAAGCUUAAGCAGGCUUUUUGGGAGGCAGCAUGUCGUAUCGUGAGGUAAUCUUAUUACAUGGAGGAGGGAAAAAAAGAAGAAAAAAAAGACUACUGUUCGAUCUGUGCUGAGGAUGAGUAUAUAGCUAAGGUUCAUACGGCAGCUAAAUAAAUGUAGCUAAAAUCCUUUGUUCAAGAGCUUGGUCUUUCGGUCAGUGAACCUGUGGAAAUGUUAUGUGAUAAUCAUGCAACCAUUUGUAUUGCUAGUGAUCUAGUCUUCCAUGAGAGAACCAAACAUAUUGAGGUGGAUUUGUCAUUUUGUGCGGGAUGCAGUGAUGAAGAAAUUGAUUUCUACUACUUUUGUGAGCUCUGGUGAUCAACUUGGAGACUUGUUUAUCAAGGCCAUGUUUUGAAAGUGUUUCUCCAAGGGUGUUCCAACCUAUGGCAUGGGUGAUAUCUAUGCUAAACUUGAGAGGGAGUGUAAGACAUUUCUAGUGUCACAGGGGUUUUUAUGUCAGUAUCCUUAUGUUAUUGUGUCCUUAUGUGUAAUUUACACAUAAGUAUAUCCUUUCAUGCAAUUACAUUAUAUUUUAAUGUUAUACAAGGUUCCCCCACCUACUAUUAGAGAGGUAUUCUAUUCUCUCAUAUCGAUGGGUGUUUACUCUACUCUCCUCUCUUUCUUUUUUCUCCUACUUUCUUUCCUCUUCUCCCUCUUCUCUUCAUGUGCAGGUACUGGUUUCAGGUUCUAAUACCGUCACAGAAUCAAAUUUUUUUCCCUAUUAAUUUCUUUUUUGAGGACAGAACACCCCUACACACCAUUAACAUAAACUCUACCACACAUUUUCAUUGCAUGGUUCUCUAAUGAAACACCUUUUGUUUUUUGGAAGGGGGGGGGGGAGAUGAAACCUCCAAGUUACUUGGCUGUCGAAACUUGUACAGAAGAAAAAAAAAUUAUUCAUUUUCCACGACUAAUAGAGCUGAAAUCAUGAGUGACUGUGCAGUCGAGUUCAAAGAUAUGCAUGAGAACUGUCCUGAGUCAGUGCAAUUUCUGUUUUGUGGUUGCUGGUUGGUUUCUGAAUGAAAUUCCUUGGUCUGGACAGGAUCAAAUGGAUGAUAUGGAGAUGCAGAAAAUGGAAGAAGCAAGGGAGGCUUACAUUGCAGCUGUCCAUGCUGCAAAAGAAAACCAGGAUGAGGAAUCUCUAGCAGCUGCAGCUGAGGCAAGAUUCCGACUUCAAUCCUUUGUCUUCAAGACCAACAAUCAAAAUGCUGACAUAAGUAGAGGCCAUCCAAGUUUUCUGAGUUCUUGAGUUGCCAACCUGGUAUCCCUUUCCCAUAUUAUAAUCAUAUAAUUUAAGCUUGCAUAUCAGUUACUGCAAACCGUUUGUUCAUAUUUUUAAUCCAAUUUAUGCAAGAAAAUUUUUUCACUC